UUUGGGUUAUACAUGAUAUU
rnacentral:siRNA from 1 species